GGUCCUACGGGCGCAGCAGUGGGGAAUAUUGCACAAUGGGGGAAACCCUGAUGCAGCAACGCCGCGUGGGUGAAGGAGCGUUUCGGCGCGUAAAGCCCUGUCAGCGGGGAAGAAGAAAGACGGUACCUGACUAAGAAGCCCCGGCUAACUACGUGCCAGCAGCCGCGGUAAUACGUAGGGGGCAAGCGUUAUCCGGAUUUACUGGGUGUAAAGGGAGCGUAGACGGCAUAGCAAGUCUGAUGUGAAAGAUCGGGGCUCAACCCCGGGCCUGCAUUGGAAACUGUUAAGCUGGAGUACAGGCGAGG
rnacentral:rRNA from 1 species